CACGUAGGGGGCAAGCGUUGUCCGGAUUUAUUGGGCGUAAAGAGCUCGUAGGCGGUUCGGUAAGUUGGGUGUGAAACCUCCAGGCUCAACCUGGAGACGCCACCCGAUACUGCUGUGACUAGAGUCCGGUAGGGGAGCGUGGAAUUCCUGGUGUAGCGGUGAAAUGCGCAGAUAUCGGGAGGAACACCAGCGGCGAAGGCGGCGCUCUGGGCCGGAACUGACGCUGAGGAGCGAAAGCGUGGGUAGCAAACAGG
rnacentral:rRNA from 1 species